rnacentral:tRNA from 1 species
GCCUCCUUAGCUCAGUUGGCAGAGCGGAUCACUCGUAAUGAUCAGGUCGCCGGUUCGACCCCGGUGGGAGGCU